rnacentral:rRNA from 1 species
AAGGAAUAUUGCUCAAUGGGAGAAAUCCUGAAGCAGCAACGCCGCGUGGAGGAUGAAGGGUCUAUGACUUGUAAACUCCUGUAAAGAAGGAAAAAAUUCCCAUUAGAUGGGAGAUGAUGGUACUUCUGGAGUAAGCCCCGGCUAACUACGUGCCAGCAGCCGCGGUAAUACGUAGGGGGCAAGCGUUGUCCGGACUUACUGGGUGUAAAGGGUGCUCAGGCGGAUUUGUAAGUCAGAGGUGAAAUCUUACAGCUUAACUGUGAAACUGCCUUUGAUACUGCAAGCCUAGAGUAUGGAAGAGAGUGAUGGAAUAUCUGGUGUAGCAGUGAAAUGCGUAGAUAUCAGAUAGAACACCAAUGGCGAAGGCAGUCACUUGGUCCAUUACUGACGCUAAAGCACGAAAGCGUGGGUAGCAAACA